ACGUUUAAAGAUGUUCAGAGAAAGCCAUUCUAUCCAUCCUUGGUCAUACAUUCCAGUCCCUAACUGGAUUUAGUCUCAAUAGAUGAUUGUCAUCCAACCUGAAUCCCCCACAUGGAGCUCUACACUCACUUACUCUUGCUCAGCAACAGAAGGAGAGCUAGAGAGGAAGGUCUGCCAUCCUUCACUUUGUGUUUGAAGAUCGGUAAUAACCCUGUGCCGCAGCAUCCUUCACAUUUCUAUCAGAUUUCCAGCUUCUCUGGUAGUAACACAGUCCACUUCCUGUAGGCCUGCUGCCUGCUUCUUUCCCUUGUGCAUGGGCGAGCCCUUGGGUGCACUUGUUCUCAUGUGCGGGAGACAGACUCCACAUCCCAAGCUUGAGGGUGAGGACAUUCUGGCUUUUGGCAGCAAUGUUGCCACCGAGUUCCUGUCCAGUCCUGCCUCGGCUCUUGCGAGUCGCCUGUCCUUGGCAUCUCUGGGGCAGGUGGGAUGCGAGGGGUCUGUGGGGGCCUACCCCCUUGUACCUCACACUCAUUUGGAUGUGCACCCGGGAGAAACCUAACUUCACAGCUAGUAUUUUUCACUUAGGCUCCCUCCUGAAGUUUUGGCUGCAAACCGGACUAUAGUUAGUGGGUUUGCAGAAGUAAUAGACAGGUGUUCGGUGUCUUGUGUCUGCAGGAAAAGGGAGCCUGAACAGUUGAGCAUAAACAACAGUUACUUGGUAAUAUGAGCUCCUUUCAUUUAAAAGUCCGAGGCCAGGCUGCAGGUGGGGGAAGGGAGGCCAGGUUGUUCUGGCCUGCCACCUGUCUGGGAGGCCAGAGGCCAGGGCAGCUUCCCAGAGAACCGCAGAGUCUGCUGGGAGCCCAAUGCAGCACAGAGUGGGGGAGGGGGAGGCAGGGACUGAGAUUCUGAAGUCCCCAGUGGAAACCCUUGUCCUGACCCCUUGCCACCAGAUGCUUUGGGAAAUUGUUUUGUUUUUGUUUUUUAAGAUUUUGUGCUUCCAUUUCCCCACUUGUAAAAUGACUGACGGGAUCGAGUAGCUGCAUAUAGCUUCGUGAUAUUCCCAGCUGAAGCGAGGGCUGGUAGAAUUCAGGUGCCACAAGGGACCUGCGGCUUUCCAGAGCUGAUACAUCUGGAGUUAAAAUAGUGAUACCAAAUCACCUUUGAGUGAGCCGGUGGCCGGAUGUGGAGAGUCAGAAAUAAGACCAGCUGAUGAUCCAGGGAGUCAUUUACAGGUGGGCCUGGCCUUGGCUUUUUGGCCACAGUAUCUCUGUCCCAGCGCAAAACUGACUUCCCUCAGUUUUCCGGCCUCUUGGACAUUGAUACCUUGAGCUCCCCUCCAUGGGUCAUUCCGGGGCAUGAUGAACCUAUGGCCAGUUGUCAUGCUUGAGGUCCUGCUGACCUGCAGGGAUGGAUUUUCUUGCUGUGACUUCUUGCAAGUCUUUGGGACUGUGAUUUUUCCUCAGCUUUGGGACACUAAUGAAAUGUUCCUGUGCCCAUCACCCUGGUAGGGAAGCUGGGGUAUCAGCUCUUAACUGGAAAUUGGACUCCUAGAGAGGGGCAGAGAACAGCGCCACGCCGGCUCCCCAGCCCGGUCGGCCGAUCUCGAGCCGCUGAGAGUUUGCCGAGCCGCCCCCUGGGGCCCCGCGCCGCCGAGUCCCGCUAAGGCGAAGACGCAAGCAGGCCGGGGAGAGCGCGGAAGAAAAACAGGCGGGCGCGCCGCGGGAGCCCCAGGAGGGA